rnacentral:lncRNA from 1 species
CUCCCAUAAGUUCGGCCACCUCGGGACCGGACCCUAGACCGAACUUAAAAGUGGCCGAAACAAAGCCGAAACAAAGUAGCAAAAACAAAACACUUGUACAUUAAGUAGAAGACAACACAGAGGAAUACUCUGACAUAUUUAACAUAAUAUAUGAAAAGAUAGACUGUUACAUUACUAUAAAACAAUACUUACAGAACUCUAGGCCUAAUAAAAUUUAAAAAUAUUAUUGCACAUUGGUGGUUUGGCUUCUUAAACACUUAAAAAAAGUCAGUAAUUUUUUCUGAAUUUUCUUUUCUAAUGAUUUUUGAUGUGCAAAGUGUGUGACUAAUGCUCAGAGAGCCGGCCGGACUAAGCGGAGACCGAACUAGCGGGAGUCUACUGUACCACUAAAUGUAAAAAAGAUUUAAGUACAGUGAAAACUAUUAAAACUGUCUAUUUUGUGAAAAGUUACUAUUCACAAACUUUAUUUAGCAAUAAUGUAUCAAACCCGGUAUUACCACAUCUGCGAAAGACAGUACCUCCGUAGACUAGGGUAGGUUUGUGACUAUGGCCACUAAUAUAGACACAAUGAAAUUCCAGGCUAAUGUAUGUAAGUGUAAAUAAUAUGAAAUGGAGAUUUAUUAUUUUUAUAACAAUACAAUAAUUUCGAUGGUUAAACACAUUAGGUUAAUCUUCAUUGUACAGAUCUAUUUAUUCUUAUGAGAUCUUUCCUUAGAACACUUAGAAAUGAAAUGCACAUUGUUUCUCACUGGCCCUGGGAA